rnacentral:rRNA from 1 species
CAUUUAUGGAGAGUUUGAUCCUGGCUCAGGACGAACGCUGGCGGCGUGCUUAACACAUGCAAGUCGAACGGUGAUGUCAGAGCUUGCUCUGGCGGAUCAGUGGCGAACGGGUGAGUAACACGUGAGUAACCUGCCCCCGACUCUGGGAUAACUGCUAGAAAUGGUAGCUAAUACCGGAUAUGACGAUUGGCCGCAUGGCCUGGUCGUGGAAAGAAUUUCGGUUGGGGAUGGACUCGCGGCCUAUCAGGUUGUUGGUGAGGUAAUGGCUCACCAAGCCUACGACGGGUAGCCGGCCUGAGAGGGUGACCGGCCACACUGGGACUGAGACACGGCCCAGACUCCUACGGGAGGCAGCAGUGGGGAAUAUUGCACAAUGGGCGAAAGCCUGAUGCAGCAACGCCGCGUGAGGGAUGACGGCCUUCGGGUUGUAAACCUCUUUUAGUAGGGAAGAAGCGAAAGUGACGGUACCUGCAGAAAAAGCACCGGCUAACUACGUGCCAGCAGCCGCGGUAAUACGUAGGGUGCAAGCGUUGUCCGGAAUUAUUGGGCGUAAAGAGCUCGUAGGCGGUUUGUCGCGUCUGCUGUGAAAUCCCGAGGCUCAACCUCGGGUCUGCAGUGGGUACGGGCAGACUAGAGUGCGGUAGGGGAGAUUGGAAUUCCUGGUGUAGCGGUGGAAUGCGCAGAUAUCAGGAGGAACACCGAUGGCGAAGGCAGAUCUCUGGGCCGUAACUGACGCUGAGGAGCGAAAGCAUGGGGAGCGAACAGGAUUAGAUACCCUGGUAGUCCAUGCCGUAAACGUUGGGAACUAGAUGUGGGGACCAUUCCACGGUCUCCGUGUCGCAGCUAACGCAUUAAGUUCCCCGCCUGGGGAGUACGGCCGCAAGGCUAAAACUCAAAGGAAUUGACGGGGGCCCGCACAAGCGGCGGAGCAUGCGGAUUAAUUCGAUGCAACGCGAAGAACCUUACCAAGGCUUGACAUAUACCGGAAACAUGCAGAAAUGUGUGCCCCGCAAGGUCGGUAUACAGGUGGUGCAUGGUUGUCGUCAGCUCGUGUCGUGAGAUGUUGGGUUAAGUCCCGCAACGAGCGCAACCCUCGUUCUAUGUUGCCAGCACGUAAUGGUGGGAACUCAUAGGAGACUGCCGGGGUCAACUCGGAGGAAGGUGGGGAUGACGUCAAAUCAUCAUGCCCCUUAUGUCUUGGGCUUCACGCAUGCUACAAUGGCCGGUACAAAGGGCUGCGAUACCGUAAGGUGGAGCGAAUCCCAAAAAGCCGGUCUCAGUUCGGAUUGAGGUCUGCAACUCGACCUCAUGAAGUCGGAGUCGCUAGUAAUCGCAGAUCAGCAACGCUGCGGUGAAUACGUUCCCGGGCCUUGUACACACCGCCCGUCAAGUCAUGAAAGUCGGUAACACCCGAAGCCAGUGGCCUAACCGCAAGGGAGGAGCUGUCGAAGGUGGGAUCGGUGAUUAGGACUAAGUCGUAACAAGGUAGCCGUACCGGAAGGUGCGGCUGGAUCACCUCCUUUCUA